GACCCCAUUCCAUUUCAUAACAGGUCCAUUGGCUUCAGAAAGCCAUCUGUGCUUACCCUCCUGGCUCCCGAAUACACAGUUGAGCUAAAAAUGCUCAUUCUUGGUGAAUUCCUAGAGAACUGGCCACGUGGAAAGACCUGGAACUACCAUCCCUGUAGCAUUGGAAACAUUUUGGGUGAACUGGGAAUGUGAAUGCCACCUUCCAAGGCCUGCAAGACACAGGUGUGAGGUCAGACAAACAGCUCAGCUUGGGCUCAGUGACGUGAACCUGGGCAGCCGUGACGCUGAGAUGAGUUUGAAUGGUUCCAUCACGGCCACAACAGGAACCUGUUCCAAAGCAACAUCUCCCAUGGUUUUUGUUAAGCACACGUGAUCUGUGGGUGACUCAAAGACACCUGCGUCGUUGAAAACCCCUCCCCAACAUGGGUAAGGACUCAUGAAAACUGCAUCCCUGGAGCCCUGCAUGAACGGUAGGCAGCUUGGCCAGUUGGAGGGCAGCUCCCGGAGAGCUCGUAUAACCUCGGCCAUGGCCAUGAGAUCCUUCCAAGUCUGUGAUGCCCCCUGAGCCCCGUGUGUUUUAUGUUCUUAGUCCUAGUGGGCCUCUCUUACCUCUAACCCGGAAUAGUUCAACAAUAGAGGUUCGAGAAGGAUGGAGUUUAGCAGCCAUCCCAGAGACCGAGGGACCCAGAAAGCGAACGUAUGUUCCCUCUGGUCCUUCACAGAACGACUCUGCUGACAGGCAGGCACGGAGGCCUGGCCUCUUCCUGCGGCUUCUCCUGCAUUGCUAGGUCAGGAGGAUCAUGCUUUCUUCAGCAACUUUUCCAGGUCCCUCCUCUGACUCCGGAGUGUCAAGCAGAGUUGCUGCUGCAUGUGUUGGGGUAUUAGUAGAACUCAGCCUGGCCUGACUCCAAGAGUGACCUCAGAGCCCAUAAUCCUUAUUGUUCCGAAAACCAUUCCAAGAAUCACAGCCUCCAGCCUGUUCCUUCAAUGACUUUUAAAACAUUUAAUGCGAAAUACUCAGCCUUUUUGUUUUUCAAUCAAGUCACUGGAAGUGUGUGAAGUAUGGAAGCCUUUCUGAACUGACUCCUGCCUUCGGCAUCCCUUGAUCCUGUGUUCCAAUAAUUGACAUGUAAUAGUGUCCUUCAUGUACAACAGUUAUUUGUAAUCUGUAUGUUUAUGUGACAUGUGCUUUUAUUAUUAUUAUUAUUUA